rnacentral:rRNA from 1 species
UACGAAGGGGGCUAGCGUUGUUCGGAAUUACUGGGCGUAAAGGGCGCGUAGGCGGUGUGUCAAGUCAGGCGUGAAAGCCCCGGGCUCAACCUGGGAACCGCGCUUGAGACUGGCACGCUCGAGUUCGGGAGAGGAUGGUGGAAUUCCCAGUGUAGAGGUGAAAUUCGUAGAUAUUGGGAAGAACACCAGUGGCGAAGGCGGCUCACUGGACCGGCAUUGACGCUGAGGUGCGAAAGCGUGGGGAGCAAACAGG